ACAAUCAUCGUACAUGCCCACAAGUACGUUGAAACAAUCCUUCUCCAAAUUUUACUAAUCACCACACAGAACUUUAAAGCAUCAACCCUUUUCCUCGAAUACGNNNNNNNNNNNGAAUAAACUACCGCAACUUUGGAUAACAAAGACAAUGUGAUAAACAAAGGGAAGCAUACUGUGGAAGAAACAGCCAUCUCGGAGAAAUGGUGACACGAGUGUUUGACAAAAGGCCUCAAUGGGAGCCCUCCAGAUUUUGCAACUAACAAUAGCCUAAUAGUUAGUCUCUUAACUAUAGACUGAUCAACAAAUACAUUUGAUAAAACAAUGGCAGAUACUGGACAAAUAAGCAAGGCAGCAAUUAUCAUAAACGAAGAGGAAUUGUACCGGAGGAUCCUCACGGUUUCCCUCAAGAUCUCUAAUGCAUUCAUUGAAUGGAAUUGAUGAUUAUACCCAUGAUCAUGUCCAGCUAAUUCCAACUCAAAUUUCUGCAACUGGGUAUCCUCAGAUCCCUCCUUUUGUAACUGAUCCAAACUCAUUCUAGGAGAAGUAGCACCAGAAACCUCCAUCUUAUCAACGAGAACAAUGAAAAUAUAAUAGAAAUAUGCAAAGGUUCACCUCAUCAGAUAUGAAUUAACAAGAGCAAGCUAUUACAACUGAAAACCCAAAAACGCAGAUUGCUUUAAAGGGCAAUCAAGCACAGAA
rnacentral:misc_RNA from 1 species